rfam:Ictidomys tridecemlineatus contig010053, whole genome shotgun sequence.
UGAGUUGUAGCUCAGUAGUAGAGCACUUGCCUGGCAUGUGUGAGGCACUGGGUUUGAUCCCCAACACCACAU